GGGCGCGUGGUUUAGUGGUAUAAUAUUCGCUUAGCACUUGUUUAAACAAUUGUGAAUGGUCCUGGGUUCGAUUCCCAGCGCGUCCA